AGUCAAAGUCGUUGUAGCCAAAAC
rnacentral:siRNA from 1 species